AUGCUCGCUUCGGCGGCAUAUACAUUAAAAUCGGAACGAUACAGAGAAGAUUAUCAUGGCCCCUGCGCAAGGAUGACAUGCAAAUUCGGGAAUCAAAUAGCUGUCCU